rnacentral:lncRNA from 1 species
UAGGUGUCUUUGGAAGCCAUGAAGAUAUCAGUUCGAGGAGCUUAACAGGAAGAGAAUUUAUGGAGCAUGCGAACCCCAAAGCACAUAUAAGGCAAAGUGGAGGUCUCCUAUUCUCCAGAGCUGAGCCAAGGCAUAAACAAGACAUAGUGAGAUUACUCAAAGAAGAUGGUGAGGUGGUUGCGAUGACUGGAGAUGGAGUGAAUGAUGCACCUGCCCUGAAAUUGGCCGAUAUUGGAAUUGCAAUGGGAAUUGCUGGAACUGAGGUAUAAAUGACAAUACUAGUGCUAGUUUUUGUGAACCAUGUCAAUGGAGGCAUGUAUCUAGAAUUUACUGCAUGAAGUAUGGUUUCAGUCUGGAUGGAGUGAAUGAUGCACCUGCCCUGAAGUUGGCCGAUAUUGGAAUUGCAAUGGGAAUUGCUGGAACUGAGGUAAAAAGGACGAUACUAGUACUAGUUUUUGUGUACCAUGUCAAUGGAGGCAUGUAUCUUGAAUUUAUUUCCUGCAGUACUUACAUAAAGUAUGGUUUCGUCUGCCAAUUAUUGAUGUACCCCAGUUGGCAGUCAUCUUACUCUGGUCCUGGAUGAUUGUAUACCUAUGUGUGUCUACCCAGAAAGAGGCUAACCUAUCAUAUUGUAUGCUCAUCUUAUUUUGGGUUGUUUAACACUAUCCAUUUAUGUGCUUACGGAUAGAAACUUGGCUUCAUUUUCCAGUGAUAGCAUUUAUUAUAGCUGAUUCUCGUGUCAAUUUGAUUGUCAUUUUCAAUGCGCAAAUUCCUGUAGUUUCUGAUGGGGUUGGGGGACAAAAUAGAUCCUGUGGAUAUAUACAUGUAUAUUUACUGUCAGGUUUUCUAUUCUUAUUAAUGAGACUCCUGAAGGGUUUUUGAAGACAGUCUUCUUGUCAUGUUGCUUAUGUUUGAUUUUUGGUCUCAGGUGGCAAAGGAAGCAUCAGAUAUGGUUUUGGCAGAUGAUAAUUUUAGUACAAUUGUAUCUG